rnacentral:rRNA from 1 species
UACGAAGGGGGCUAGCGUUGUUCGGAUUUACUGGGCGUAAAGCGCACGUAGGCGGAUCGUUAAGUGAGGGGUGAAAUCCCAGGGCUCAACCCUGGAACUGCCUUUCAUACUGGCGAUCUUGAGUCCGGAAGAGGUGAGUGGAACUCCUAGUGUAGAGGUGGAAUUCGUAGAUAUUAGGAAGAACACCAGUGGCGAAGGCGGCUCACUGGACUGGUAUUGACGCUGAGGUGCGAAAGCGUGGGGGAGCAAACAGG